CCCGCGCGAUCUCACCGUUGUUCAGAUCACCGCGCGACUCGUCGCUACGAUCGUCGUCCCUGAUGCUUUCCGACUCGAUCGUUUCGUUCGAUUCAGUCAGCUGCUUCUCCUCGCCGUUGAACUUCACACGGUCCCACUCGGCCAUGAUGACGCCGCCAAGGAGGAGGAGAAGGCUGGCCGUUCAGGUGCGAUUGUCUGAGAACCAAGAUCUCAAUUUUCAAGAUUUUCGAGUGGACUGUAUUAGUGAGAAAUAAAGAAAGAUAUGAAAAAUAAACAAAGUAUACUACUGAAAGAAGCAAUCUCAAAGAGGAGAGUUGGUGUUCCUCAAGACCACGGCGGAUUUAGUGACACAACAAAUUUUUCAACAUUUAUAAAGCCGUUUGGAACAAAAUAAACACAACAAUGUAACAGUAAAAGCUUUUCGCUUUGAAAUGAAACCAAAAAAUUUCAACAUACCUAAAUACGCGACACGAUUCAUUUACAUAAACAAAGGAAUCAAGACAAUGAAUCAUGGAUUUGACACAAUGUUUACGAUGCACUUUUCACGAGUUCCCGAUUUAUACGCAUUAUAAUACUCGUUCAUACUUCGUGAUCUCAAGCAAUUAUUCUGAACAAAUGACCUACU